GGCUCUGUAGCGCAAUGGAUAGCGUGUUGGACUUCUAAUUCAAAGGUUGUGGGUUCGAGUCCCACCAGAGUCG
rnacentral:tRNA from 1 species